rnacentral:rRNA from 1 species
UACAGAGGUCCCGAGCGUUGUUCGGAUUCACUGGGCGUAAAGGGUGCGUAGGUGGUGAGGUAAGUCGGAUGUGAAAUCUCCGAGCUCAACUCGGAAAUGGCAUUGGAAACUACCUUGCUUGAGGGUUGGAGGGGGGACUGGAAUACUUGGUGUAGCAGUGAAAUGCGUAGAUAUCAAGUGGAACACCAGUGGCGAAGGCGAGUCUCUGGACAUUUCCUGACGCUGAGGCACGAAAGCCAGGGGAGCGAAUGGG